rnacentral:rRNA from 1 species
AAUCAACGCUGGCGGCGCGCCUCAGACAUGCAAGUCGAACGAAUUAAGACUCUCUUCGGAGAGUGUAUAAAGUGGCGCACGGGUGAGUAACACGUAAGUAAUCUACCUUUGAGUGGGGAAUAACGUUCGGAAACGGACGCUAAUACCGCAUAAUGCAGCGGCACCUAAUGGUGACAGUUGUUAAAGGAGCAAUCCGCUUAAAGAGGAGCUUGCGGCAGAUUAGCAGUUGGUAAGGUAAUGGCUUACCAAGGCUACGAUCUGUAACCGGUCUAAGAGGACGGUCGGUCACACUGACACUGAA